UAGCUCUACCUUAGCUUCUCAUUAUACCAAAAACCCUCCCAAACUUAAGAGCCAUUCAAAUAAGGCACAGCUUAUUUGAAAUAGGGCACAACCUCUAACACCGGGUAAAUAAGGGUAACUUAAACAAAGUAGGCCUAAGAGCAGCCACCUUUAAAAAAGCGUUAAAGCUUAUCUAUAAAUACCCACAAUUUCCUAAAUCCCCAUUAACCCUUCACCACUACUGAACUAUUUUAUACCCAUAUAAAAGCUUUAAUGCUAGAACUAGUAACAAGAAAUAGCCCUUCUCCAAAAUGUAAGCUUACACCAAAAUGGACUAUCCAUUGGUAAUUAACGCAAAUGUUGCAGUCACAGCAACACACCUCUAGAAAACCCUGUGACCUCCUACGUUACCCUUACACUAGAACAUCUCAGGAAAGAUUAAAAGAGAAAGAAGGAACUCGGCAAAUCCUCAGCCCCGCCUGUUUACCAAAAACAUCGCCUCUUGACCAAGUAUAAGAGGUCCAGCCUGCCCAGUGACAAAAUUCAACGGCCGCGGUACCCUAACCGUGCGAAGGUAGCAUAAUCACUUGUUCUCUAAAUAGGGACUAGUAUCAACGGCAUCACGAGGGCUGUACUGUCUCCUUUCUCCAAUCAGUGAAACUGAUCUCCCCGUGAAGAAGCGGGGAUUAUUAUAUAAGACGAGAAGACCCCAUGGAGCUUUAAACUCAUCACUCACUUCCUCACCUCCAUGCCCGACCAUAUAAGGAAUCUGUGUGAUAGUUUUGGGUUGGGGGGACCACGGAGUACAAUUUAACCUCCAUGACAAAUGGGCUAACGCCCUUAUCUAUGAACUACAACUCUAAGAAUCAUAAACUGAUGUUUGAUGACCCGACAAUUCGAUCAACGAACCAAGUUACCCUGGGGAUAACAGCGCAAUCUACUUCAAGAGCCCCUAUCGACAAGUAGGUUUACGACCUCGAUGUUGGAUCAGGGUAUCCUAGGGGUGCAGCCGCUCCUAACGGUUCGUUUGUUCAACGAUUAAAACCCUACGUGAUCU
rnacentral:rRNA from 1 species